GCUCCCGUAGUUCAACGGAUAGAAUAGGACUUUGCGGAAGUUCUGAUCACAGUUCGAUUCUGUGCGGGAGCGCAA
rnacentral:tRNA from 1 species